rnacentral:sRNA from 1 species
GGAUGGUCUCAAUCUGACCUUGUGAUCUACCCACCUCGGCCUCCCAGAGUGCUGGGAUUACAGGCGUGAGCCACCACACCCGGCCAAAGAAUAUCUUCUUAAAAGUGAAUUUGCUGAAUAAAAGACACAGCUCCGAAUCGAUUCCUUCUUUAGAUUAGCACAACAGGAGAAAGAAGAUGCUAAACAUAUUAAGAGCCAGAGACUAAACAGAGCUGUGACAUGUAUGCUAAGGAAAGAGAGAGAAGCAGCAGCCAGCGAAAUAGAAGCAGUUUCUGUUGCUAUGGAGAAAGAAUUUGAGCUACUUGAUAAGGCAAAAGGAAAAACCCAGAAGAGAGGCAUAACAAAUACAUUAGAAGAGUCAUCAAGCCUGAAAAGAAAGAGGCUUUCAGAUUCUAAAGGGAAGAAUACAUGUGGUGGAUUUUUGGGGGAGACCUGCCUCUCAGAAUCAUCUGAUGGAUCUUCAAGUGAAGAUGCUGAAAGUUCAUCUUUAAUGAAUGUACAAGGGAGAAGAGCUGCAAAAGAGCCAAAAACCAGUGCUUCAGAUUUGCAGAACUCAGUGAAGGAAGCUCCUGUGAAGAAUGGAGGUGCGACCACCAGCAGCUCUAGUGAUAGUGAUGAUGAUGGAGGGAAAGAGAAGAUGGUCCUUGUGACCGCCAGAUCUGUGUUUGGGAAGAAAAGAGGGAAACUAAGACGUGCAAGAGGAAGAAAAA